rnacentral:lncRNA from 1 species
GUUACUUGCAAUUGCAGUGUCCGUGGCAAAUACGAUUAUUCAUCAACGUUCAUACUAAUCAAGCUGUGGACUUUCAUAAGUGGAUCAGUCAAAGACACUGUCAUAGCUUUUGUGGAAUGCGUUAUGAAUAAUUUAAAGCUGAAGAGGUUAGCGGCUAGCCAAUGGAUACGAAAAUCUUCACUCACUCAAUUUCAUCCCAAGGCUGUGUGUGAUGGUUGACGCGACCCAGCGGUUAGCCCGAGGUCUCGCCUUUGCCGUCGGUCUCCUCGUGGGUCUGAGUCUGGUCCUCAUGCUCGGCUCCGAUUGCGAGCCCUCCGUCUCGGCCCCGAACCCGGAGCUCGGCGCCGACCCCCGACUCCACACCUGGGGCCACGCCAAGGCCCAAAAGAGCACCAGCCGCCCCGUCGACCGCGACGCCGUCCGCGCAUCGCGAAGGUACAAGGUGGCGGUGCGUCCGGUGGGCUUCGGGGUCUGGCGCGACUCCUUCGUCUACGAGUCGAUCCCGCGCAACGGGAACGGGCGGAUGUACGACCCGGCGAACCCGCGGCGGGAGUUCGAGAUCUCCUCCGGCGACGGCGUCACCCUGGAGCCGGGCGCCGACGUCAACAUGGCCUGGUCCCAGUUCCAGUACGCCACCGACGUGGAGGUCCGCAUCCGCUCCGCCGACGCCGCCCCCCUCGGGCCCCCCGCCAACGUCGUCAUCCGCCCCUCCCGCAUCCCCUACCGCAUCUACUCCCCGCGCCCGGACACCAUCCUCGUCUGCCUCCCCUUCGACCCCGCCGGGAGGCGCUUCUCCGUGGAGUUCCAGAACGACCUCCUCAGCUACCGGACUGACGGUGUCGGCUACGUCGAGGAAGGCGGGGUCGUCGUCAGCGAGGAGCCCAGGAACGCCCUCCUCAUCUUCGCCAGCCCCUUCAUCCCGCCCCAACUCGUCCCCGCCAAGAUGGCCCCCGACGUGCAAGUCCUCAAACCCGGCAAGAUCGUCGACGGCACGAUCGGAACCAGGUCCACACUGUAUUUCGAAGCCGGAGUGUACUGGGUGGAGGAUAGCAACGGUGUCCUCGGGAAGAGUCACAUCAAACUUCACCCGAACACCAACUUCGUCUACUUCGAGCCGGGGACCUACAUCAAGGGGGCGCUCGAGUACACGACCGCCAAAGACUUCUUCACCGUCGGCCACGGCGUUCUCUCCGGCGAGAACUACGCCUACCAAGCCAACACGCUCCAGGGCUACGUUUCCAGCAAGGAUGACAAGUCCAGUCUCAGACUUAUCUCGCACCAGGCGGUGAGCGACAACCAGACGUGGACGUGCGUGGGCGUGACGCUCAACGCUCCGCCGUUCAACUCGGUGGACCUCUUCCCGAGAGAGGCGACCAAUCACGAGGAGGACAACAGGGUGAGGAUCCGGGUCGAGGACUACAAGCAGGUCGGGGCUUUCUACUUCCAGACGGAUGGCUUGCCCGCCUACGGAGGCUCCAUCACCUCCGUCUUCCUCCACGCCAACGACGACGCCCUCAAGCUCUACUACUCCGACGCCCACGUCACCGACGUCGUCGUCUGGAAGGUGCACAACGACCCGGUGAUCCAGCUGGGUUGGAAGCCGCGGAACAUCUCGAACGUGGUGGUGGAGACGGUGGACGUGAUCCACAGCCGGUGGGCGUUCUCGCAGACGGCGGUGCCUUCGGCGAUCAUCGGGGCCUCGCCGUACUACAUGGACCCGAAGCUCGUGGACGCCGGGCGGACCGUCUCGGCGGUGGUGCGGAACCUCCGCUGCGAGGGGAAGUGCGCCGCCCUCCUCCGCAUCGCCCCGAUGAACAACUACGACCUCCGCAUCGAGACGGUGCGCUUCGACGAGCUCCUCGCCGACGACCGCGCCCGGCUCGGCAUGAGCCUCGUCGGCACCAAGAUCAGCGACCACGAGGAUGCCUACGUCCAGGGACAGGAGGUCCUCCGGAUGGGCAUCCACGUCCGGGAUUGGCUCAUCGGCGGCCGGAGGGUCUGCGCCGACAACUGGCGCUCCGAGGAGCUCGGACAGCUCAACUUCAACGUCGGCUUUUGGGGACAGUGGAGCAUCGAUUGA